rnacentral:rRNA from 1 species
UACGAAGGGGGCUAGCGUUGCUCGGAAUCACUGGGCGUAAAGCGCACGUAGGCGGCUUUUUAAGUCAGGGGUGAAAUCCUGGAGCUCAACUCCAGAACUGCCUUUGAUACUGAGAAGCUUGAGUCCGGGAGAGGGAUGUGGAAUUCCAGGUGUAGCGGUGAAAUGCGUAGAUAUCUGGAGGAACACCGGUGGCGAAGGCGGCAUCCUGGACCGGUAUUGACGCUGAGGUGCGAAAGCGUGGGGAGCAAACAGG